rnacentral:pre_miRNA from 1 species
AGGGGACAGCCACCCUCCCUGUCCUCCAGGAGCUCACGUACUCCUGCCUGUGAGCACCUCGACGACAGAGCCGGUGUCCGUCCCUGCACUGCC